rnacentral:rRNA from 1 species
UACGGAGGGUGCGAGCGUUGUCCGGAAUCACUGGGCGUAAAGGGCGCGUAGGCGGCUUCUCAAGCGUGUGGUGAAAGUCCGGGGCUCAACCCCGGAUCGGCCGUGCGGACUGGGGAGCUCGAGUUCUGUAGAGGCGGGUGGAAUUCCGGGUGUAGCGGUGGAAUGCGUAGAGAUCCGGAAGAACACCGGUGGCGAAGGCGGCCCGCUGGGCAGUAGCUGACGCUGAGGCGCGACAGCGUGGGGAGCAAACAGG